UUGAACGCUGGCGGCAGGCCUAACACAUGCAAGUCGCACGGUAACAGGAAACAGCUUGCUGUUUCGCUGACGAGUGGCGGACGGGUGAGUAAUGUCUGGGAAACUGCCUGAUGGAGGGGGAUAACUACUGGAAACGGUAGCUAAUACCGCAUAACGUCGCAAGACCAAAGAGGGGGACCUUCGGGCCUCUUGCCAUCGGAUGUGCCCAGAUGGGAUUAGCUAGUAGGUGGGGUAACGGCUCACCUAGGCGACGAUCCCUAGCUGGUCUGAGAGGAUGACCAGCCACACUGGAACUGAGACACGGUCCAGACUCCUACGGGAGGCAGCAGUGGGGAAUAUUGCACAAUGGGCGCAAGCCUGAUGCAGCCAUGCCGCGUGUAUGAAGAAGGCCUUCGGGUUGUAAAGUACUUUCAGCGGGGAGGAAGGGAGUAAAGUUAAUACCUUGACUCAUUGACGUUACCCGCAGAAGAAGCACCGGCUAACUCCGUG
rnacentral:rRNA from 1 species